AGGGUUUUUUUUUCAUGUAUUUGAGACAGUACAUGUAAAGGAUCCACUUUCUCGAUGACGUUGGUGAAACACUGAAGUAGGCAACUCUAGGGGUCUCGUGACCCUGAAUAUGUGCCGCGGAGAAGAAACUGCUCACAUUCAAGACUGUGGAAAUACAAGAAGCAAAAAUGUGCAACAGAAUGUUCAACAUUGCCCAGGGCUUGCUUCCCCAACAGCACCCCAUUGUCCUGGAAAGUCAGGCUCCUGUAUUUGAUACCAGUGGAAGCUGAGCUGGAGAACAGCUAGGCAGAAGGAGAGCACAGCACUCCCAUCAUGCAUUCUGACUCCCAUUGUCCCUAAGACUCACUUUAAAGAUGAAGAACUGACCAGAUCAGCCAGAUCGAAAGCAGAUGGAAGAGCUAGAUGUGGCCAGCACACGGGAAGGGUAAAACAGAAGCACAGGGACAAAUUCAAGGACAACCUGGUCUAUCUACAUAAUGAGUUCCAGGACUGUACAGGGAGAUCCUGCCUCAAAAACAAAACAACAACCACCAAAAAGAAAGCAAACAUCAUCAUCAUCAACAACAACAAAGCCCAUGCUUAGACUGUCUCCAUGCACCCGCUUUGGAUUCUCAGACUCGGUGAGGCAGUCGUUUUCUGUUCUUAUUUUAUCACUGAGGAAGCCAGGUCAUUUAAGCCAUGCAGAAAACCACAUAACUUAUGGGCAUGAUCUGGAAUUACAUUCAGUCUUGGGUUGCCUUUCAAGUCUGUCUUAGCUGGGCAUGGUGGCACAAGCCUGGAAUUGCAGCAUUUGGGAAGCAGUGAGAUUUCUAGUUUGGAGUCUUUCUGGGCUACAUAAUGAGACACCCCCCAUCUCAGAAAAUAAAAUUAUGCUCUUUCACUCUGUCA